rnacentral:rRNA from 1 species
GACGAAGGGGGCUAGCGUUGUUCGGAAUUACUGGCGUAAAGCGCGUGUAGGCGGUUGUUCAAGUCAGGUGUGAAAGCCUUGAGCUCAACUCAAGAAAUGCACUUGAUACUGGAUGACUAGAGGACCGGAGAGGAUAGUGGAAUUCCCAGUGUAGUGGUGAAAUACGUAGAGAUUGGGAAGAACACCAGUGGCGAAGGCGGCUAUCUGGACGGUUUCUGACGCUAAGACGC